AAAUUUGGAGCCCACUUCUUCCAUAACCCAAGAAGACCAAUACAAGACGAAAAAAAACCCUAGUCUCUACACUUCAUCUUCCUCAUAAGAUGAUAGGAGCAACCAUCUUCAUAAACCAUGGAACCUUGAAAAACCCUAGAAUACAUUCAUGGUUUCUUCUUCUCCAUGAAGCUACAACAAUGAACAAAUGACACCAGAACCCUAGAAGCACAACAGCUCGCGGGAACUACCCAAAAAGGGACUCACUGCCGCCGCCGGACCACCCAACAGCCACCACUAUCCAGCUGAACCCUAAUCAAAUCAGCCGCCGCCCAGCUGAAAUGAACCAGCUCCCUCAAUAGCCACCACCGUCCGUCGAACCUAGCCCGAACGACCACCAUGUUCCACUGUCUCUAGUCCACACGACCACACUGACUAAUACCACAGCAACAUCCUAACGCCUACUAUCUGGAAAGAGGGACCAAAUCGGAUCCCUCACUCCAAACCCGUUGUUCACCCCUGAAACCAACGACCUCUCACCAGUGACCCUUCGCGGAACAUUACUCAGCGAGACGAGCUCCCUCGCCACAAGGAAAAACACACACAUACCAGGGACAGAAACAGGUAGAACAAAACCAAAAUAUAUAACAAAAAAUGGGGUUUGGAGAUAAAUUUCAGACUUUGUUUGGACUUUUAAAUUGGUUAGAAAUUUGAGAAAAUUAGAAAAUAUAUCUUGCAUCUUCUGCUUCUUCCCAUCGAUUUCGAACAAUUGGUCUUCAAAUGGAGUUCAAUUACCAUGAGUUUGCCCUUCGGAGUUUGGUCUCGAGGUCCCGUAACUGUUGCGCUUCCACAUGAGUUUUGCGUGGAGGCUGAUUUUGAGGUAUCCGUUCGAUUUUCCGUUCCAACCCGUUCCACAGUUUUGUUCGAGUAUUUGUAAGCCCAGGUUUAUUUCGAGGUCCAAUCCUAAACUUUGCUUCUUUGUUUUCCUCUUUUAUGUGAAUGUUUAGUGUUGGUUUUUUAUUGCUUUUUAGUUGUUAUUAUGUGAUAAUUUUCAGUGUUUGUUUCAAGAUUGUUUGGGUUGGUUCUUUGUCUUAACUUUUAUAAGGAAAUAGUCGAAUUCACAUUAUACGAAUGCAAAUACAUGCUGAAGAACUAAUUUAUUUGACACGUGAAUGGAUAUAGUUCACAUGUCUUUUUACUUUGUUAGAUUAUCUCGUUUAAUGGGGGGUUGGGUAGUAAUCUUUAACCGGUUCUUUCUAAUGGAUUUGAUUCGCAUUAGUGUUUGAUUUCCUUAGUCAUUGCCUUUCGUUAGCUUCUGUGAGAUGUAUUGCUUGGCUAAUUAGUGUUGUUGAAUGUCGAACUUGCUUGAAUUUCGAAUGGGGAUCCUUGGGUUUAAAGAAAACGAGUCGAAUUGGAACAUGAAUUGAAUUUUCCCUCUUAUUUAAUACUCUUUUAUUUUUUUUUAUUUUUAUAAUUUAACCGCUAGGAGCAUGCUAGGCCGGCAAAACUCGAGUAGGAAAGCCUUAGGAUUUUGUUAGUUUGAAGGCGAGAGGUUUUCCCUUAGUUAAAUUUCGGGGAAUGCCCCGUGAAGUUUGUAAAUAUUAUUAUCCGGGGUGUGCCCCGAAGUAAUUUGUAAAUAUUUUGGAGGCCGUGACGCGUUUGUGAAGGAAUCAUAGUGUAGUAUUUUACUCUUAUUUGUUUUCUUUUAUUAGGUGGGGAUGACCUCGAGCCAUUUCGUGUAUUUAUUUUUCUGUGUUUGUUUUACCUCAAUCGAAUAUUCUAAAAUCCAACUAGAUCGAGUACGCAACCGUAACCUUCACGGGACUUGGGGAGUGCCUAACACCUUCUCCCCGAAUCAAAUGAACCCCCUUACCUGAAUCUGUGGUGCGCACUUGGUUUCAGAGUCCAAAAUAUUUUAAAAGAAAAAAUUAUUUUAAGAAAAACGGUGUCCUGGCACAUCGAAAUCAAAUGUCAGCAGGGGACUCUGAGUUUAUUUCUUUUUGAAACACAUUUUGUCACUUUUCAAUUGAAAAACCCUUUUCAAGCUUUGUCAAAUCUUUUUAUUAGUUUAAAAGGGAUUAGUGAGGUUUGUUCUAAAAAAAAGGGUGUGAGAUCUCUGGCGACUCUGCUGAGAACUUGCGGGUUCGAGCUAGUACUUGAUCUUGUUGGCUUUUAGGAUUUUCGGUUGAGGUUUUUAUGUGUUUUGUUUGUUUUAUUUGAUUUUUAUUUUGUUUAUGUCUUUUUAUUAUUUGCUCGCUGCUUAUUUGUUUACAUUUUUUCCUUUAUGUGUUACUCCUUUAUAAAUUGUCAUCAUUUUGCAUAACCAUGAGUCUUCUUUCCGAAACAAGUAUUCCGGAGUACGUUUGAGCGUACACGGUCUUUUUGUGAGUCACCCAUGUCUUUAGAGGGGUGGCGUGGGAGCGUGGAGUGGGCGGACAGCUAGAGCAGCUGCCAUCAACCACGUGCCGCCCAUAAUUGCCUUGUUAGUGAACCCCAAACUUAGGUCAGCCUUAGGUCAUUCCUGUUUGCAUCAUGUCAUUUACACCUAGUAGGGCUCGGUCCUAGGUACCGUGUCCCUUUGUAGGGAACCUGUCCAAACUUUGUCAAAAUGGGCCCGUGGCCCAAAAUGACAUUAAAUCAUCUCAUGUACUAAAUAUUGCAUCUUUGAGGCUAAAAAUGUCAUUUGGCGGACCAAUAUUUGGAAAGAAGGGUGAAAAGGAAGAAAGUAGGGCCCACCCGUAUUUUUCUUUCAUGGUUUUCCAAAAAUAAAAAAAAAUGAAAAUGAGAAAAUCCAAAAGGAUUUUACACUCUUCCAUUAUUUUUCAAAAAUUCAAAUAAAGUAGAAAAUAAAAAAUCCAAGAAGAUUUUAUACUUUUCCAUUAUUUUUCAAAAAUUAAAAAAAAAGUAGUAAAUGAAAAUUCCCAAAAAGAUUUUACACUUUUUCAUUAUUUUCCAAAAAAUUCAAAUAAAUGAAAAUGAAGAAAAAUCCAAAAAUAUUUUUGCACUUUCCCAUUAUUUUUUAAAUAUUCAAAAAAAAUGAAAAAAUAAAAUCCAAAAAGAUUUUUUACUUUUUCCAUUAUUUUCCGAAAAUUCAAAAAAAAGUUGAAAAUAGAAAAUCCAAAUAGAUUUUAAAUUUUUUAUCAUUUUCCAAAAAUUAAAAAAAAAAAGAAAAAGAAAAUAAAAAAGAUAUUUCAUUUUCCAUCACUUUUUCUGAAAAAGACAAAAAAAAGUUUUUUUUCAAAUUAGAUGCAAUUUUUUGAAUUCUAUCCUAUAUCCAAUCUUCCAACACUAAGCGAACCUGAUUCUCGUCUUUCGGGGUGAGAUACGCAGGCAACCCACAUAGGGUCUGGUCUUCCUAGUAAGUCUUAGGCUCUUGGCUUUGUGGGGUUUUAGCCAUAUCUUUCAUGUCUAGCUACUUUUGGCCGCAUCGGCCAUUCUUGCAAAAUGGGUCAUUUUUGCAAAAGUGGUUCAAUAACCCAUAUCUUAGGAUUUUGAGACCACAUCUAGGUGUCAUAUUAUUUUACGGUCCUUCCUUUUGAGUUUGCAUCUCUAGCCACUUCUGGCCAAAUCGGCUAUUUUUGUAAAAUAGGUCACCUUUGCAAAGUAAUUCCUAUGGUCAUAAAUAUUGGGAGUUUGAAUCCAUAUAUGCCUUAGUGAUAUAUUUCCAUGUCUUUGAAGUCACCUUUGUUGAGUUUGCACUAAUAGCCAUCCUUGGCCACUUAGGUUAAUUUUUUUUUAAAAACAUAGCCCAGUCAUGUCUUGCAUGUGUCCAAUGGGAGCUGUGGUCUCACAUAGUGCCUCAAGUCAUUUAAUCUGUUUGGUCUUAUUUUUCUCAUUCAGGUAUGGAUUCAUUUUACCAGAGCUCGAGCAUGACUGAUACCCCAGGAUCACUGCAUUUUGGAGCUGCUUAAGGAGCCUUUUUAUGUUAUAAGUCUGUUUUUAUGUUUGUCUUUCCCUUUGUAGUCAUGUCCAGUAGUAUCGAGUCUGUCAGUGUAGUUAUGAUUGUCGAGUAUUUUAUUAUAGUACUUCCUGUUUUGUAUUUGAAAAACCAAAAAAAAGUUAUAAAUGGAAAAUUCAAAAAGAUUUUAUUUUUAAUUUAUUUGUCCAUCAUGUUUUCAAGAACUACGGGUGAUCUCAUUCA
rnacentral:lncRNA from 1 species